rnacentral:rRNA from 1 species
UGUGAGCUCGAUGAGUAGGGCGGGACACGUGGUAUCCUGUCUGAAUAUGGGGGGACCAUCCUCCAAGGCUAAAUACUCCUGACUGACCGAUAGUGAACCAGUACCGUGAGGGAAAGGCGAAAAGAACCCCGGCGAGGGGAGUGAAAAAGAACCUGAAACCGUGUACGUACAAGCAGUGGGAGCACGCUUAGGCGUGUGACUGCGUACCUUUUGUAUAAUGGGUCAGCGACUUAUAUUCUGUAGCAAGGUUAACCGAAUAGGGGAGCCGAAGGGAAACCGAGUCUUAACUGGGCGUUAAGUUGCAGGGUAUAGACCCGAAACCCGGUGAUCUAGCCAUGGGCAGGUUGAAGGUUGGGUAACACUAACUGGAGGACCGAACCGACUAAUGUUGAAAAAUUAGCGGAUGACUUGUGGCUGGGGGUGAAAGGCCAAUCAAACCGGGAGAUAGCUGGUUCUCCCCGAAAGCUAUUUAGGUAGCGCCUCGUGAAUUCAUCUCCGGGGGUAGAGCACUGUUUCGGCAAGGGGGUCAUCCCGACUUACCAACCCGAUGCAAACUGCGAAUACCGGAGAAUGUUAUCACGGGAGACACACGGCGGGUGCUAACGUCCGUCGUGAAGAGGGAAACAACCCAGACCGCCAGCUAAGGUCCCAAAGUCAUGGUUAAGUGGGAAACGAUGUGGGAAGGCCCAGACAGCCAGGAUGUUGGCUUAGAAGCAGCCAUCAUUUAAAGAAAGCGUAAUAGCUCACUGGUCGAGUCGGCCUGCGCGGAAGAUGUAACGGGGCUAAACCAUGCACCGAAGCUGCGGCAGCGACGCUUAUGCGUUGUUGGGUAGGGGAGCGUUCUGUAAGCCUGUGAAGGUGUGCUGUGAGGCAUGCUGGAGGUAUCAGAAGUGCGAAUGCUGACAUAAGUAACGAUAAAGCGGGUGAAAAGCCCGCUCGCCGGAAGACCAAGGGUUCCUGUCCAACGUUAAUCGGGGCAGGGUGAGUCGACCCCUAAGGCGAGGCCGAAAGGCGUAGUCGAUGGGAAACAGGUUAAUAUUCCUGUACUUGGUGUUACUGCGAAGGGGGGACGGAGAAGGCUAUGUUGGCCGGGCGACGGUUGUCCCGGUUUAAGCGUGUAGGCUGGUUUUCCAGGCAAAUCCGGAAAAUCAAGGCUGAGGCGUGAUGACGAGGCACUACGGUGCUGAAGCAACAAAUGCCCUGCUUCCAGGAAAAGCCUCUAAGCAUCAGGUAACAUCAAAUCGUACCCCAAACCGACACAGGUGGUCAGGUAGAGAAUACCAAGGCGCUUGAGAGAACUCGGGUGAAGGAACUAGGCAAAAUGGUGCCGUAACUUCGGGAGAAGGCACGCUGAUAUGUAGGUGAAGUCCCUCGCGGAUGGAGCUGAAAUCAGUCGAAGAUACCAGCUGGCUGCAACUGUUUAUUAAAAACACAGCACUGUGCAAACACGAAAGUGGACGUAUACGGUGUGACGCCUGCCCGGUGCCGGAAGGUUAAUUGAUGGGGUCAGCGCAAGCGAAGCUCUUGAUCGAAGCCCCGGUAAACGGCGGCCGUAACUAUAACGGUCCUAAGGUAGCGAAAUUCCUUGUCGGGUAAGUUCCGACCUGCACGAAUGGCGUAAUGAUGGCCAGGCUGUCUCCACCCGAGACUCAGUGAAAUUGAACUCGCUGUGAAGAUGCAGUGUACCCGCGGCAAGACGGAAAGACCCCGUGAACCUUUACUAUAGCUUGACACUGAACAUUGAGCCUUGAUGUGUAGGAUAGGUGGGAGGCUUUGAAGUGUGGACGCCAGUCUGCAUGGAGCCGACCUUGAAAUACCACCCUUUAAUGUUUGAUGUUCUAACGUUGACCCGUAAUCCGGGUUGCGGACAGUGUCUGGUGGGUAGUUUGACUGGGGCGGUCUCCUCCUAAAGAGUAACGGAGGAGCACGAAGGUUGGCUAAUCCUGGUCGGACAUCAGGAGGUUAGUGCAAUGGCAUAAGCCAGCUUGACUGCGAGCGUGACGGCGCGAGCAGGUGCGAAAGCAGGUCAUAGUGAUCCGGUGGUUCUGAAUGGAAGGGCCAUCGCUCAACGGAUAAAAGGUACUCCGGGGAUAACAGGCUGAUACCGCCCAAGAGUUCAUAUCGACGGCGGUGUUUGGCACCUCGAUGUCGGCUCAUCACAUCCUGGGGCUGAAGUAGGUCCCAAGGGUAUGGCUGUUCGCCAUUUAAAGUGGUACGCGAGCUGGGUUUAGAACGUCGUGAGACAGUUCGGUCCCUAUCUGCCGUGGGCGCUGGAGAACUGAGGGGGGCUGCUCCUAGUACGAGAGGACCGGAGUGGACGCAUCACUGGUGUUCGGGUUGUCAUGCCAAUGGCACUGCCCGGUAGCUAAAUGCGGAAGAGAUAAGUGCUGAAAGCAUCUAAGCACGAAACUUGCCCCGAGAUGAGUUCUCCCUGACUCCUUGA